rnacentral:rRNA from 1 species
UACAGAGGUCCCGAGCGUUGUUCGGAUUCACUGGGCGUAAAGGGUGCGUAGGUGGUGAGGUAAGUCGGAUGUGAAAUCUCCAGGCUCAACCUGGAAACUGCAUUGGAAACUACCUUGCUAGAGGGUUUGAGGGGGGACUGGAAUUCUCGGUGUAGCAGUGAAAUGCGUAGAUAUCGAGAGGAACACCAGUGGCGAAGGCGAGUCUCUGGACAUUUCCUGACGCUGAGGCACGAAAGCGUGGGGAGCAAACAGG